rnacentral:rRNA from 1 species
UACGGGGGGGGGUAAGCGUUGUUCGGAAUUACUGGGCGUAAAGGGCUCGUAGGCGGCCAACUAAGUCGGACAUGAAAUCCCUCAGCUUAACUGGGGAACUGCGUCCGAUACUGGAUGGCUUGGAUUUGGGAGAGGGAUGCGGAAUUCCAGGUGUAGCGGUGAAAUGCGUAGAUAUCUGGAGGAACACCGGUGGCGAAGGCGGCAUCCUGGACCAAUAUUGACGCUGAGGAGCGAAAGCUAGGGGAGCAAACGGG